AAAUUGAAGAGUUUGAUCAUGGCUCAGAUUGAACGCUGGCGGCAGGCCUAACACAUGCAAGUCGAACGGUAACAGGAAACAGCUUGCUGUUUCGCUGACGAGUGGCGGACGGGUGAGUAAUGUCUGGGAAACUGCCUGAUGGAGGGGGAUAACUACUGGAAACGGUAGCUAAUACCGCAUAACGUCGCAAGACCAAAGAGGGGGACCUUCUG
rnacentral:rRNA from 1 species